GAUCUCCAAUAAGACCCGAAGCUAACUGAGCUACCGUCGUGCAGGUGUGGAGUAGUCACGGCCGAACCAGUGUCUGUAGCAAUAGACUUGGGUGACGCGGCGGUAGGGGUGAAAGGCCAAUCAAAGUUAGGGAUAGCUGGUUUUCCGCGAAAUCUAUUUGGGUAAAGCGGGGUAGUGGGACCGCCGAGUGUAUCAGCGAGAAGAACGGCGGAUCCGACACUCUAGUCAGACUGCUGGUGGUAAGGUCGGUAGUCGAAAUGAAAAGAGUCACGAUGUGUUGCUAAGGCCCCCAAAGUCCACGAACAAUACG
rnacentral:rRNA from 1 species